CUCAAAUGAAUUGACGGGGGCCCGCACAAGCAGUGGAGUAUGUGGUUUAAUUCGACGCAACGCGAAGAACCUUACCAGGGCUUGACAUCGCCUGACCGCUCUAGAGAUAGAGCUUUUCCCUUCGGGGACAGGUAGACAGGUGGUGCAUGGUUGUCGUCAGCUCGUGUCGUGAGAUGUUGGGUUAAGUCCCGCAACGAGCGCAACCCCUAUUGUCAGUUGCCAGCAUUCAGUUGGGCACUCUGGCGAGACUGCCGUUGACAAAACGGAGGAAGGUGGGGACGACGUCAAAUCAUCAUGCCCCUUAUGUCCUGGGCUACACACGUACUACAAUGACAACAACAGAGGGCAGCCAAACCGCGAGGUUGAGCGAAUCCCAAAAUGUUGUCUCAGUUCAGAUUGCUGGCUGCAACUCGCCUGCAUGAAGUCGGAAUUGCUAGUAAUGGCAGGUCAGCAUACUGCCGUGAAUACGUUCCCGGGCCUU
rnacentral:rRNA from 1 species